rnacentral:rRNA from 1 species
UACGAAGGGGGGCUAGCGUUGCUCGGAAUCACUGGGCGUAAAGGGUGCGUAGGCGGGUCUUUUAAGUCAGGGGUGAAAUCCUGGAGCUCAACUCCAGAACUGCCUUUGAUACUGAAGAUCUUGAGUUCGGGGAGAGGUGAGUGGAACUGCGAGUGUAGAGGUGAAAUUCGUAGAUAUUCGCAAGAACACCAGUGGCGAAGGCGGCUCACUGGCCCGAUACUGACGCUGAGGUGCGAAAGCGUGGGGAGCAAACAGG